AACUGAAGAGUUUGAUCAUGGCUCAGAUUGAACGCUGGCGGCAUGCCUAACACAUGCAAGUCGAACGGAAACGAUGCUAGCUUGCUAGCAGGCGUCGAGUGGCGGACGGGUGAGUAAUGCAUAGGAAUCUACCUAAUAGUGGGGGACAACCUGGUGAAAACCAGGCUAAUACCGCAUAAUCCCUACGGGGCAAAGCAGGGGACCUUCGGGCCUUGCGCUAAUAGAUGAGCCUAUGUCGGAUUAGCUAGUUGGUGAGGUAAUGGCUCACCAAGGCAACGAUCCGUAGCUGGUUUGAGAGGAUGAUCAGCCACACU
rnacentral:rRNA from 1 species